rnacentral:lncRNA from 1 species
GAACAGAAAUCGUUUUAUUGCAUUCUACACGUGUUUCGAAAGCCACAAUUUACCAAAAUCCGAUUGAAUAAGGAGACCAUAUUGUGUCUUUCUCUUCAGGAAGAAAUAGGAAAUCCGUUGGAAAAAACAAAAACAGGACAGAGGCGGAGCAAAACAAAUCAAACGAGGCUCCUAAGAGCCCAUGGCCAAACAUGUCUUCUGCUGUGAUUUUUGCUACCAAGGUAUCGGUUAAACUUUUGAUUAAUCUGCAACAAGAUUAUUCAUCUUUCUAUUUCACAAAAUAUAUAUAUAUAUAUAUAUAUAUAUAUAUAUAUAUACACAUGAUUUCCCAGUUUGUGUGUGUGUGUGUAUAUGUAUAUGCCUUUGCCCAUAUAUGAUGAUGAUGAUUUUAAAACUCUAAAGAAAUCUGACUCAUUUUCUAAAUGCCUUCAUCUCAAUAAACAUGUUUGCAUUUAUGUACACACACACACAUAUACAUCGCCAUCAUCAUCAUUUAACUUCUGCUUUCCAUGUUGGCAUGGGUUGGACGGUUUGGCUGGAGCCAGCAUCAAGCUUUGCUGUCUGCCUUGGCUAUGGUUUCUAUGGCUGGGUUCCCUUCCUAACGCCAACCCCUUUGCAGAGAGGACAUGACAUAUAAGUCCCGAUGGCAGUUCAUAUCUGGUUCUUACAACUGGAUAGUUUGCUGUUCAUUCAGAGACUACCUUUCUCUUUAUAAAUGUCCCCAAAAUGUCCCACUGCCUUGGCUUUGUUGUCUCACUUUAUUCAACAUAUACAUACUCACACACGACCCGCGUUGGACCCCCUCGCUCAUACUAUUAUUGAACCGGGAGUCUAACAGUGGUCCUCCUGUAGCACCUACAUAGCCUUACCUGCCGUUUAGGUCUUCUGGAUACCAAGACCUCUUAUAUAUAUAUAUUUCGACGAGUCGUGUUCUGUCCUCACCUUUGAAACACGCUGGAGUUGAACCAGGGACAGCUGAUGAUGGGGAAUUUUCCCUGUGUUGUUUGUCUUGUACUCUGGUUUUUCGUUGUUAAAAAAAGGUCCGUUUACACGUUUGUUUUUACGUUUUCGUUUCUCGUUGAGUUCUACGUCUAUUUGUGGUGUCCUGUACUCACGUAUAUAUAUUUAUAUAUGCAUGUAUAUAUACAUGUAGAUGUAGGUACGUACAUAUAUGUAUGCAUAUAUUUUAUUUAUUACACUAUUAGAUAUAAUGAUAAAUCUCAGAGCGAGUUAUAAACAGUAGCGGUAACACAUCGUGACGCAUAUUUGCCAUUUGAAUAUGGCUUACCCAUAAGGGUGAAUGCUACUGUAGUUUGUAGCCCCAGGAAGAUAUCUCCUCCAGCUGGCUAUAGACACACUAUCUGUGUCCUCUCAGUAUUUGUGAAGGGGAGUCAUCCUCCCCGUCUUCAACACAUGAUACACACGUACCCGAGUUUCAAGGUGUUUACCUUUCAUCAGCGUGUGACAAUCAUGGUUGUCGAUGAGAAGUCAGAUCCCUUCACAAAUACAUAUACUUUUUCCAGUGUCGAUUGACACUGAUAUUGAAAAAGUGAAAUCAAACAAUGACUAAUCUCAUUGAAACUCGGGUACGUGUGUAUCAUGUGUUGAAGAUGGGGAGGAUGACUCCCCUUCACAAAUACUGAGAGGACACAGAUAGUGUGUCUAUAGCCAGCUGGAGGAGAUAUCUUCCUGGGGCUACAAACUACAGUAGCAUCCACCCUUAUGGGUAAGCCAUAUUCAAAUGGCAAAUAUGCGUCACUAUUAUAUAUAUAUAUAUAUGUAUAUGUAAAAAAAUAGAAACUGGGACAAGAACGCAAGACAUUUAGAAGACAAUACAAAAAACACGGACGGGACAUUCGAAGCCUUCAAUCUUCAGUCAAGAACCGGAUCAUCCUCACAAUUUCGGCUGUGCGAGGAUGAUCCGGUUCUUGACUAAAGAUUGAAGGGUUUGAAUAUCCCGUCCGUGUUUUUCGUGUCGUCUUCUAAAUGUUUUGCGUUCUUGUCCCAGUUUGUAUUUUUUUACAUAUACAUAUAUAUAUAGUGGCGCCCGUACCCUUUUUGGUCUUGUAUGUAAGUAUAUAUAUAUAUAUAUAUAUAUAUAUAUAUAUAGGCGCAGGAGUGGCUGUGUGGUAAGUAGCUUGCUAACCAACCACAUGGUUCCGGGUUCAGUCCCACUGCGUGGCACCUUGGACAAGUGUCUUCUACUAUAGCCUCGGGCCGACCAAAGCCUUGUGAGUGGAUUUGGUAGAUGGAAACUGAAAGAAGCCCGUCGUAUAUAUGUAUAUAUAUAUGCAUGUGUGUGUUUGUGUGUCUGUGUUUGUCCCCCUAGCAUUGCUUGACAACCGAUGCUGGUGUGCUUAUGUCCCCGUCACUUAGCGGUUCGGCAAAAGAGACCGAUAGAAUAAGUACUGGGCUUACAAUGUAUAAGUGCCAGGGUUGAGUUGCUCGAUUAAAGGCGGUGCUCCAGCAUGGCCGCAGUCAAAUGACUGAAACAAGUAAAAGAGAGUAAAGAGUAUAUAUAGUUAAUCCAAACAUGAAAACACAACGACGUGAGGACGUGGAACAAGUAUAGUAUUAUUGGACGCUCAGGAAAGAAGGAAAGAAGGAGGGUUUAAUGUUUCGAGCGGAGCUCUUUGUCAGAAACAUAGGAAAAGGAAAGAUCCAGAGAAGGGAAGACGGAGGAAAAAUAAUCGCCAACGGUGUUUGUCCCCCGCCACCACUUGACACUUAACAGCAGGUGUUGGUGUGUUUACAUCCCCAUGACUUAGUGGUCUGGCAGACAAAAACUGAUAGAAUAAGAACCGAACUUCAAAAAUAAAAGACUGCCAUAGUUAAACCUUUAAAAGUGGUGCUCCAGCAUGGCUGCAGAGGGACAAAAUAACACCAAGUCAUUGAACUAAGGCCAAACGGUGAAGAAUGGUCUAAUUAUAAUAUAAUUAACGGAAAAAUUUUAAUUAAUUUAAAGUACAUCUACAGUGAUGAAACAGAAAAUACAUUACAUUAAUUAAUUGUAUUUUUAAUUAAUUGUUGUUGUUUAACCCCAGGUCAGUCCUGAUCCAGGCAGACCUAUGAUCAAAGACGCUCCACCUGUGACCAUCCCUCCUUUUAUUCAGGCACAGUGUAUCUAGGACUACAUUAUCUAAUGUAUAGUAGAGUAGUAAGUAUUAGUGGCUAUAGCUGUUGUUGUUUAACCCCAGGUCAGUCCUGAUCCAGCAGAGAGAGACCUAUGAUCAGAGAUGUUCCAGCUGUGACCAUCCCAUCUUUUAUUCAGGCAUAGUGUAUCUAGGACUACAUUAUCUAAUGUAUAGUAUAGUAGGUAGCAUUAGUGGCUAUAGUUGUUGUUGUUGUAGUUUAGCCCCAGGUCAGUCCUGAUCCAGACAGACCUAUGAUCAAAGACGCUCCACCUGUGACCAUCCCUCCUUUUAUUCAGGCACAGUGUAUCUAGGGCUACAUUAUCCAAUGUAUAGUAUAGUAGUAAGUAUUAGUGGCUAUAGCUGUUGUUGUUUAACCCCAGGUCAGUCCUGAUCCAGCAGAGAGAGACCUAUGAUUAAAGAUGUACCAGCUGUGACCACCCUAUCUUUUAUUCAGGCAUAGUGUAUCUAGGACUACGUUAUCUAAUGUAUAGUAUAGUAGUAAGUAUUAGUGGCUAUAGUUGUGUUGUUUAGCCCUAGGUCAGUCCUGAUCCAGACAGACCUAUGAUCAAAGACGGUCCAGUUGUGACCAACUCCUCUUUUAUUCAGACAUAGUGUAUCUAGGACUACAGUAUCCAAUGUAUAGUAUAGUAUUAAUGGCUAUAGUUGUGUUGUUUAGCCCUAGGUCAGUCCUGAUCCAGACAGACCUAUGAUCAAAGACGGUCCAGUUGUGACUAUCCCAUCUCUUAUUCACACACAACCUAUAAUCUGGUGACGUUGAUGAUCGCCUGGGGCUAAAUGCAUCAGUAACACCUCCACCGCCCUGCCCUGCCCCUAGCCACAUUCAGAUGGCUAAUGUCCCUUUUGCUAUAAUAAUAUUGUUACUCAUUAAAUUAUUUAAUCUUUGAUAAAAUCAUUUAAGAGCAAUUAGCCGAAAGUUAGUCUGCAGUUCCAAGGACUUGCAUCUCCGGACACUCGCAAAUCUGUUUUUCUUCUACCUUCUUCUCGUUUUCGGCAUGAGCCUGUGGCCAUGCUGGAGCACGACCUUGGAAAGUUUUAGUCAAAUGAAUCAACCCCAGGAACCCCCCCCCCCUUUUUUUUUUUAUUUCUUUUAAGCUUGUUCUACGGGUUUCUUUUGCCAAACUGCUAAGUUGCAGGGAUGGAAACAAACCGACACUGGUUGCGGCGGUGGUGGUGGUGGUGGUGGGACAAACACACACACACAAAAACACUCAUAUAUAUCAUCAUCAUCAUCAUGCACAAGAGUGGCUGUGUGGUAAGUAGCUUGCUUACCAACCACAUGGUUCUGGGUUCAGUCCCACUGAGUGGCAUCUUGGGCAAGUGUCUUCUGCUAUAGCCCCGGGCCGACCAAUGCCUUGUGAGUGGAUUUGGUAGACGGAAACUGAAAGAAGCCCAUCGUGUAUAUAUAUGUAUGUGUGUAAGUGUGUUUGUCCACCCCAUCAUCACUUUACAACAGAUGUUGGUGUGUUUACGUCCCUGUAACUUAGCGGUUCAGCCAAAGAGACUGAUACAAUAAGUAUUAGGCUUCCAAAGAAAAGUCCUGGGGUCGAUUUACUCGACUACCGUCCAUUGACCAUGCUGGCAUCGGUUGAACGAUUUGAUGAAGGCUGACAAGCUGCUGGAAGUUGCAGAGUGUAUAUAUAUAUAUAUGUAUGUAUAUAUAUCAUAUGUGUAUGUAUAUAUAUCAUAUGUGUGUAUGUAUGUAUAUAUAUCAUAUAUGUAUAUAUAUAUAUGUGUCAUAUAUGUAUAUAUAUAUAUGUAUGUAUGUAUAUAUGUAUAUAUAUAUAUAUAUAUAUAUAUAUAUUUGUAUAUACAUGUAUGUAUAUAUAUAUAUGUUAUAUAUAUAUAUAUAUAUAUAUAUUUGUAUAUAUAUAUGUAUGUGUAUAUAUAUAUAUAUAUAUAUAUUUGUAUAUACAUGUAUGUAUAUAUAUAUAUAUGUAUAUAUAUAUAUAUUUGUAUAUACAUGUAUGUAUAUAUAUAUAUGUAUAUAUAUAUAUAUAUAUAUAUAUAUAUAGGCGCAGGAGUGGCUGUGUGGUAAGUAGCUUGUUUACCAACCACAUGGUUCCGGGUUCAGUCCCACUUCAUGGCACCUUGGGCAAGUGUCUUCUACUAUAGCCUUGGGCCGACCAAAGCCUUGUGAGUGGAUUUGGUAGACGGAAACUGAAAGAAGCCCGUCGUAUAUAUAUAUAUAUAUGCGUGUGUGUGUUUGUCCCCCUAGCAUUGCUUGACAACCGAUGCUGGUGUGUUUAUGUCCCUGUUACUUAGCGGUUCGGCAAAAGGAGACCGAUAGAAUAAGUACUGGGCUUACAAAAGAAUAAGUCCCGGGGUCGAGUUGCUCGAUUAAAGGCGGUGCUCCAGCAUGGCCAGUCAAAUGACUGAAACAAGUAAAAGAGUAUAUAUAUAUGUGUAUAUAUAUAUAUAUAUAUGUAUGUGUGUAUAUAUAUAUAUAUAUAUAUCCCCUUCCGGUCAACUUAUACUUAAAAGGCCACCCCACACGUGCUCUACCUCAUUCACCUAGCAGCUAUAUCCUGAGUACAGAUAAGUUGAAAACUUAUUUUCACUUCUCGACCGAUCAUACUACAUUCGCAUUCGCAUCUAACACUCAAAACAUGUUUUUAUCUAUUUUAUCUACUUAACUAAUUACUAAUACGCUUGUUCUCUACGUAAGCUAAGCAGUUGUCAUCGUAUUCCCUAAUUUCCUCUCAUCAUUAUGUGCCGAUAAUUUCUCCAUUUCUCCACCGUCCCCCCUCAAUAUCCCUUUAUCAUUAUGUGCUGAUAAUUUCUCCAUGUUACUACGAUAAUUUUGCCCGUCCAAGUCCUUGCUCGCUCUCUCCUCUAUCAACCUUCGCGUAUUUGCGGUGCACCCGCCCUUGCCCAACCCCACCACCAAUACCGGAUAUCUCUAUAUUUUUGCUCCAUCUAUACCGGAUGUUGCUUCUCCCACCACCAUUAUAGGUGUCUACCCUUCGAACCCCCCUCUUCAAUACGCUAUUUCACCAUGCAUUACCCCUCUUGUGAUACCCUACAUUCUACUUGUCUAGAACCUGUCAUCGUUUCUCCGAACACCCCUCCCCACUGGUACUCCCCUAUAUUCCUGCACCCUCCACCCCCCACAUAAAAAGCACCAUCCGAACGUGGCCGAUGCCAGCACCACCCCGACUGGCUUCUGUGCAGGUGGCACAUAAAAAGCACCAACCGACCAUGGGCGAUGCCAGACCCCUCUGCAGGUGUCACGUAAAAAGCACCCACUACACUCGCGGAGUGGUUGGCGUUAGGAAGGGCAUCCAGCUGUAGAAACACUGCCAGACCAGACUGGAGCCUGGGGCAGCCCCUGGCUCCCCAGACCCCGGUCGAACCGUCCAACCCGUGCUAGCACGGAAAACGGACGUUAAACGAUGAUGAUGAUGUAUAUAUAUAUGUAUGUAUAUAUAUAUGUAUGUAUGUAUAUAUAUAUAUAUGUAUGUGUGUAUGUAUAUAUAUAUAUGUAUGUGUGUAUGUAUAUAUAUAUGUAUGUGUGUAUGUAUAUAUAUAUGUAUGUGUGUAUGUAUAUAUAUGUAUGUAUGUGUGUAUGUAUGUAUAUGUUUGUAUAUGUACGUAUAUAUAUGUAUAGAUGACCCCACAAGUCCCUGCAAUCAUCUGACAGGAAGUUUCUUUCAGACGAUGCAAUGUUUGCGUUAAUCAAUUGAAGGUGUCGCUUGAAAUGACCAUAACGAAUUGACACCUGUAUGUUUGUGAUGAGGAGCGCUAGGAGUGUCAUGGGGGCGGCAGCCCAAGAAUGUUGGACAAGUUGGUUGCGUAACUGGUACCUAUUUCAUCGACCCUGAAAGGCAAAAAUCAACUUCUGUAGAAAUUGAACUCGGAACGUAACUGCAGAAGAAAUACCUAUUUCUUUAUUACCCACAAGGGGCUAAACAAGGACAGACAAAGGGAUUACGUCGACCCCGAAAGGAUGAAAGGCAAAGUCGACCUUGGCGGAAGUUGAACUCAGAACGUAGUGGCAGAUGAAAUACCUGCGUUCAAAUUCCGCAAAGGUCGACUUUGCCUUUCAUCCUCGAUUAAAUAAGUACCAGUUACGCACUGGGGUCGAUGUAAUCGACUUAAUCCCUUUGUCUGUCCUUGUUUGUCCCCUUGUGGGUAAUAAAGAAAUAGGUAUUUCGUCUGCCACUACGUUCUAUUUCUUUAUUACCCACAAGGGGCUAAACAAGGACAGACAAACGGGUUAAGUCGAUUAUAUCGACCCCAGUGCGUAACUGGUACUUAUUUAAUCGACCCUAAAAGGAUGAAACAUUGAUCCGUCAUUUCUGGUUUGUUUACAUUCUGAUUAAAUUUGUUUCGGCAAGGGGCCUUACACAGAGGGGACGAAGAAUGACAGACAAAAGGAUUAAGUCGAUUAUAUCAUCCUCAGUGUGCAACUGGUACAGUUUUUAAUCGAUCUGGAAAGGAUGAAAGGCAAAGUCGACCUCAGCGGAAUUUGAACUCAGAACGUAGUGGCAGAAGAAAUACCUAUUUCUUUUCUGGCUACACACACAGAGUGGACAAACAAAGACAGCAGACAGACGGAUUAAGUCGACCCCAAAUCGUAACUGGUACUUUAUUUAUCGACCCCGAAACGAUGAAAGGCAAAGUCGACCUCGGUGGAAUUUGAACUCAGCAAUAUUUCGUCUGUCUUUACGUUCUAAGCAUUUCGCCUGGUGUGCUAACGUUUCUGCCAGUUCGCCGCCUUCAGUAAUAUAUUCCUUUACUGCCCACAAGGGGCUAAACAUAGAGGGGACAAAUAAGGACAGACAAACGGAUUAAGUCGAUCCCAGUGCGUAACUGAUACUUAAUUUAUCGACCCCGAAAGGAUGAAAGGCAAAGUCGACCUCAGUGGAAUUUGAACUCAGAACGUAAAGACAGACGAAAUACAGCUAAGAAUUUCGCCCGGCGUGCUAACGUUUCCGCCUUCAGUAAUAAUAAUAAUAAAGCUAUUAAUCCCUUCUAUUAAACGCACGGGCGGGGGCCGAUCUCUGCACUCAUCUUGUCCCAAAAGGAUCUUGGAAGGUAAAAGGCAUUUUUGUCCACAGAGCCAAUACAAAGGGAAGUAACUCCGAGAAGCCAGAGUAAAUGGCGGCGGCGGUCGUUAAAAUUAUUCGGCUUUUGUCCACCUUUUACCCGUUUCAGUCAGUAUCCAGCAUCACUUGAGGCCCUGCGCUUGUUUGUUUACAUCCCCCAUGACUUAGCAGUUCAUUUUGAGAUUGAUAGAAUAAGGAUCAGACGUUUUUUUUACUUUCACCGGGUUCCAUUCGUCCGACUAAAACCGUUCGCUGAGAAAUACGUUGAGGGAACACGCCUGUGGAAUACUCAACCACCUACACAUUAAUUUCACAAGCAGGCUGUGAUCGUAAGGUCGUCAGUUCAAUUCCCACCUUAAUUUUACCGUGUCCCAGUCCACUUACCUGGCAAAAGUCAGCUUCCAUUCACAAUUCGAAGGGAGCAGCCUUGUCACAUUGUAUUUCCCUGUAAAUCACAUGAAAAAAGGACGUGUCUGUGGAGUACUCGGCCAGUUGCGUGUUUAUUUUCAAUAGCAUAUUCUGUUGAUUGAGUGCCAUUUGUUGCCCGGUUGGUCACUCUAGCCUCAUACCUCUUUACUGACCUUCAAAGAUAAAACUGACACGGGCAGGAUUCGAAACCACAACGUAGAUGUCCACAACACAUUCGAUCCGAUUUUCUUAAAUUCGGUGCCUUUGCAUUUUUUCCUUUUGACUCCAAACUGAACGGAAAAUGUAGACAGUUCCCUUCCUUGAAACCAAUUGUCUCGUCUAUUGGCCACUGGAGGGCGCAACCAAAGCGACUGAGACUGGUGGUUCCCAACCGAUUUUUGGCCCCACCGAACCAUUUCUAAGAUCCUCAUGCCUCCUUGUGAUGUAUAAUAAAUGUUGGGAUCUUUUCCGUUUGACCGGCAGUUUUUUUUAAAUAAUUUCCGCGUAACUAAACACUUUUAAACUUCGUAUAUAGAAUGUGUUUAUAAAACAUCUUUUUCUCUUGGCUUUAUUGAGAAAAUUCUGUUUGUAAGAUAUUUGUUGUUUUUUUUUUUUAAUUUCAACCAAUCAAUGACGUCCAUUGAGGUAAAAAAAAAAAAAAAACAUUCUGUGCCGUAUGAAUAUGUCCUUCGUUUAAGAAACAGAUUGGGUUUAUUUACAUUUCUGAAGAAAAGAAAAAAAGAUACCUUUCCCCCACCCCUAACCCUAAAACAGAUUGAAAUGCAAUAGAUCGAUACUAGGGUUAUAAUUAUGGGUGACAAUUUCAUGACACCGCUAGAAAAAACUGCUGGUGAAACCGAAAAAGGUCCCCAAAAUAGACGUAAAAAAUGUGUAGGAAAACUCUACAAAAGGAAAAUCAUUUUCUCCACUUUAGAGACAUCAGAUCUUACGAAAUGCUGAGAACGACCUGAUGUCUCUAAAGUGUCAAACGUGGUAAAAUUUGGGGGGGGGGCACAGAAUUAAACAAAAAUUUUUUUUUUUUCCUCUUUCCCUUUUCUCUUCUGGUUCCUCCUUCUUGAAAUGUCCCCUUAAUUUAUCUGGUCCAGAAUCGAUGCAGUUCCCUUGAUUUUUUUUUUUUAUAUGAAAGAGUGAAGUGGAAUCCCCUUGUUCCCAUAAUAAAAACAUAACUAUGCAGGCAUUCUUUCUUUGGGGUUUCAGUCACUUGACUGGAGCCCUGCCUUCACUCGAACCAAUUUGACCCCAGAUAAGUGUAGCAGUUCCUUUUUGCCAAACCUCUAAGCUACAGGAACAUAAACACACCAACACUGGCUGUCAAGUAAUGGUGGGGGGGGGGGGGGACAAACAUAUAUACGACGGGCUUCUUUCAGUUUCCGUCUACCAAAUCCACUCACAAGGCUUUGGUCGGCCCGAUGCUAUAGCAGAAGACACUUGCCCAAGGUGCCAUGCAGUGGGACUGAACCCGGAACCAUGUGGCUCUCCAAACGCCCAGCUUCUUCUGGUGUUUUCACCCAAUCCCCACCCCAUCGCUUGACAACCAGUGUUAGUGUGUUUGUGUCCCCCGUAACUUCCCGUGCUGGACCACCACCACCAAUAGCACACAAAAAAAACAAAAAACAAAAGAACACUGUAAAGGGUGGGGGUCAAUACUUUUAUUUUUUUUUUUUGAAAUGAUGAAGGUAGAGGGGAGAGGUAUGUAUACAUGAUAGAAGUGAGGGGGGAGGGAUUGGAGUGGGGGGGGAGGAAGAAGAGGGAUUUUUUUUUUAAAACUUGACCACUAGUCACUUCUGCUGUCACCUUCCAUCAACCACUCACUAGGUGCACUCAACCAUCCACUACCCAAAACUACUAUUACUACCACCACAACCUGUUACUAUGGUAAUGGUUGUCAAUGGUUACAACAGCUUCUGCUAUGCUUCACUAUACACCCACCACUAACCCCUCCUCACUAGAUAUAGCAACCAAACAACCCUCAAAAUCAACAUUUCCAUUCUGAUUGCUUUGAAUAAAGAAUGAAAAAAAAAAAACUGGAUUAAAAUGCUAGAUAUUCCCCUCUAAGACGAGAUGGCCAUGGUUGGAACACUGUUCCAGAGUUAGAAACACCACUGACUUCUAUUACGGAGUUCAAUUAAAAGUUACACCCGUAACGAGAAGUAAUUAGUGUGAAAGUUCAUUUAAAGAGAACCCAAGGGAGGUAAAUCUUGAAAAUUAUAUUAGAAAAAAAAAAGGGUUAGAAAUUAAAACAAAUUGUAAUAGUGGAGGAAUGAGGGGGGGGGGGAAUGGUCAGGGUGAGUCUGGGGGACAACUUUGGAUAGGUUUCAGUGUUAUUGACCUCCUCAGGCAACCAGACAAUACUAAGAUCACACACACACAAAACGGGGUCUCCUACUGUCAAGGGUUCCAGAUGAGCCGAUCUCACGGCAGGAAAACGCAAGAGAGGGCAGCAGUAUCAGACCCUCUCACUGACCAAAUGCCACCUAUCAGAGGAGGUUCUGGAUAAUAGUGUAGCAGUCAACGGUGGUGCCCCAGCAUGACCACAGCUGGGAGGGGGGGUGGGGGUGAAGCCCAAAGAUCUCCACAGGAAAUGGUGAGUGCUUUGAACACUUGUGAUCAUUUUGUGUUGUAAUUAAACAAAGUGCUGUUCUUGAAAUAUGGAAAGGAGGGGUCGUCAGUGGGGUGGCUUUGGGGCCCAUCCUGUAUCUCAACAGUUUGAAACUAGCAAGGGAAACAGACUUACCUAAACACCCAUAAAAGCACCUUUUGUCUGACGCUCUGCCGGUUCAGAGACAAGACUGCCCUAUUAAUAAUUAACGACAGUAGUAGUAGUAGUAGCAGCAGUACAUGUGGGUGGUGGUGGUGGUGGUGGUCGUCGUUAAAAUAGAUGUAGCAACAGAAUUUAGAAAUAUAUAUAUAUUUUUUUUUUUAAAUACUAAAACACCCACACAUCAAACAGAAGAGAUGGGGACGACCACGAGUUUCUCUGCCCCUGAAAUUAUCAAAUAAUUAAAAAUGUGACUGCAAUAUUAAUUAGUAGUUGUGGUGGUGAAGAAACAGGCAAACGAACCAAAAACAGUAACCAUGGCGACACUACAGACUCCCCCAACACAUACACAUUGAAGAGGCAGAGAGAGAGAGAGAAAUGGGGGUGGGGGAGAAAUAGAGAAACAGGGGCAGUUAUGAUGGUUAAGGAACUAAAUAAAUGAAGGGACAACAUUGACACACACACACACACACACACUCCCUCUAGCCUGGAGCCCAAUAAGAAAUAUAGAGAAAGACUAAGCAAAGGGAUGCUGGGAACAGCAAUUAUACUAUUGUGUGAGCACACAGUUCUUUAAUGUGCAUAUACACAAAUAUUUUAUAUAUACACACACACACACACACGCUAAAUUCAAACAGUGAGAAUGAGUGAUCCACUGUGAUGGACAAAUAUUCUUUAUUUGUGGAUCAACAAUUGUAAAGUUAUCACUUUACAUGGAACCACUGGCAGCCCUAUAUAUGUGCGGGUGUGUAUAUAUAUAUGUGUGUGUGUGUAUCUCUCUAUAUAUAAAAAGCAGUUUGUCUGUCUGUGUGUCUGUCAGGUUGUAUCCUCACCCUGACCACGGCUUUGAACCGAUUCUGAUGAAACUUCACACACACAUAGCCCAAUGUCAUAAUUCAAAACUAACGCAACGAAAAUUUUGAAAAGUUCCCCCAGUUCUGAAAAAAAAUCGAUAAAUUCAACAUGGGGUCGAGAAUCUAAGCUUUUUAUAUGCAAUACAUUUCCUGUCUAGGGGACACAACUCGACAGCUAGGUACAUCGUAUACACAGAAGUAUUCGAGUGAAGAGAAGACAUUGCAACCUACACAUGCGCCUUCGUUCCCUAGAGGGAAAGGACUAGAUUGGGAUUAGUCGUUGCCUACUAGGGGCUCUUACAUACCCGGGCAAAGCCAGGCUAUGCUGCUAGUAAUAUAUAUGUGUGUGUUUGUAUAAUAUAUAUAUAUAUAUAUGUAUGUGUAUGUGUGUGUGUGUAUGUAUGUAUUUUGGUUGAGUCAGUCUCUUGCCAUGUUGAAGCCAGUAGAGCACUCUAAGUGUGCAGAGACUGUUUUGUUCCUCAAGUACAAAUACGCGUGUAACCCCCAUUAUUUCCAUUUUGUUCUAUUUUAGAAAAACUGAAACGUGUCCUUGACAAUUCCGAGUGUCUGGUUGUGGUGGUGCAACAAACAGAACAGUGGUGGACACCUCCGGCCAAAAGCAUCGUGAGAAAGGCAACACCGCAUACACCCGAUGGUCGAUUUGGCCAAAAAGUUCAGGCAACACAGUGUGCACGACACAUACCAAAGUGACUCCCACCUGCGCCACCAAACGAGAUGUAUCUGUUAGAAACAGGCUUCAAAAAAAAAAAAAAAAAUGUCCAAAGAAAUUAGGGCACAUAUUGCCACAGGAAUAUUCCUCAUACGACAAUGCAACGAAUAAUAAAAUUUGCUAAUUUGUUUUGCUUUGGUAUUAAAUAUAAAGGGUUGUUUUUGAAAUGUGCAAUAUGUAUUAGAGUUUUAAUCUUGGCGCAUGACCUUUGGCCCAGCUUGUAUAUAUUUUUAUAGAGAUACACACACACACACA